GAUGAACGCUGGCGGCGUGCCUAAUACAUGCAAGUCGAGCGAACAGACGAGGAGCUUGCUCCUCUGACGUUAGCGGCGGACGGGUGAGUAACACGUGGAUACCGCCCCUAUAAUUCUGGGAAAACUUCGGGAAACCGGAGCUAAUACCGGAUAAUAUAUUGAACCGCAGGGUUCGAUAGUGAAAGACGGUAUUUCUGUCUCUAAUAGAUGGAUCUGCGCCGGAUUAGGUAGUUGGUAAGGUAACGGCUUACCAAGGCUACGAUGCGUAGCCGAGGUGAGAGGGUGAUCGGCCACACUGGAACUGAGACACGGUCCAGACUCCUACGGGAGGCCGCAGUAGGGAAUCUGCCGCAAUGGGCGAAAGCCUUACGGAGCAACGCCGCGUGAGUGAUGAAGGUCUUCGGUUCGUAAUGCUCUGUUAUUAGUGAAGAACAACUGUGUAAGUAACUAUGCACGUCGUGACGGUACCUGAUCAGAAAGCCACGGCUAACUACGUG
rnacentral:rRNA from 1 species